GGGCUAUGUUUCAUUUUAAACAUUUAUUUUGUUCUAUAGAUUGUUUGAAUCCGUUUUUUUAUCUUUUAAAAGGAUCAUAGAUUAUCACUGGGAUUUGAAAGCCGAAUAUAAGUCCUUGUUUAUGAAGUGUUAGCCAGAAGUCGAUAUCAACUCUAACUCUAACUCUAAAUGAAUCAUCAAAAACUACUAAUAUUAAUCUUAAUUUUCCAUCCAGUUUGAAAUGGUUUGAGAUCUUUUAUAAAUAUUUUAUAUAA
rnacentral:lncRNA from 1 species